UACAGAGGUCCCGAGCGUUGUUCGGAUUCACUGGGCGUAAAGGGUGCGCAGGCGGCCAAGUGUGUGAGGUGUGAAAGCCCGGGGCUUAACCCCGGAAUUGCACCUCAAACUACUUGGCUAGAGCAUUGGAGAGGGUAGCAGAAUUCACGGUGUAGCAGUGAAAUGCGUAGAUAUCGUGAGGAAUACCAGAGGCGAAGGCGGCUACCUGGACAAUUGCUGACGCUCAGGCACGAAAGCGUGGGGAGCAAAAGGG
rnacentral:rRNA from 1 species